rnacentral:rRNA from 1 species
GUGAGUGGCGAACGGGUGAGUACACGUGGAUAACCUACCUCAAGGUUGGGGGAUUAACAUUUGGAACAGAUGCUAAUAACCGAAUAAAACUUAGUAUCGCAUGAUACCAGGUUAAAAGGCGCUACGGCGUCACCUAGAGAUGGAUCCGCGGUGCAUUAGUUAGUUGGUGGGGUAAAGGCUUACCAAGACAAUGAUGCAUAGCCGAGUUGAGAGACUGACCGGCCACAUUGGGACUGAGACACGGCCCAAACUCCUACGGGAGGCUGCAGUAGGGAAUCUUCCACAAUGGGCGAAAGCCUGAUGGAGCAACGCCGCGUGUGUGAUGAAGGCUUUCGGGUCGUAAAGCACUGUUGUAUGGGAAGAACAGCUAGAGUAGGGAAUGACUUUAGUUUGACGGUACCAUACCAGAAAGGGACGGCUAAAUACGUG